GACCGACUGAGAGCUGUUUCUUGAUUGGGUGGAAACCACCAUCCAGGAAUGGCCGUUCUUAAGACCCCGCAGUGACCGAAAGGUAAUCGCGUUAAUAAUCCUAAACCUGGACAUGGAGAUUGGUCCUUCGGUGCCCAGUGCGGUAACUCAAACCAGCUCGGAGACGCCGAUGCGAGCCCCGGGUAGAGUUUUCUUUUCUCUGUAAGGAAAUCGAGUCCGUGGAAUGGGUUCGCCCCGAGAUAGGGAUGGUGGCUCCGUAGAGCAGUGCGGCUCUAGCGCUGUCCGAUGCGCUCGCGUCGGCCCUUGAAAAUCCGAGUGAGGGAGUGUGUUUUUUGGUGCCGGACCGUACCCACAUCCGCAGCAGGUCUCUAAGGUGAAUAGCCUCUAGUC
rnacentral:rRNA from 1 species